GUGAAAACCACUGCACUAGGGCAUUUAUUGUUUGCUUGGAAAGCAUUUUUCCUUAAUGGAGGACAAAGAGAUGGAAAGACAGGUUACUGCUGAGGAAGCUGUCUGGUAACUGUCAACAUCAUUGCUUUGAAUGAGAGUGUCUCCUGCCAGAUCCUGCAGCAAAUGUUUGACCCUGUAUGUAUGACCUUGAUGGAAAAUGGGACAAAAAUCCCAGCAGCCCAGGGCAACAUCCAACGGCCCCAUGUGGAGUGACUACACAAUGCAGCAUUGUAAGAAGUGGCAUUUAGGAAGUGACCAUUCUGAGCCUUUACCCUUCGAAUAUCCUGCAGAGAUUGGGUGCUAAUGGCUCCCUCUCUGGUCAGGAGCAGCGAGGAGGAAGAACGCCCCCAUCCCCUAAUCAGAGCAUCCUGCCGAGGCCUGGCCAUGCCCCCCCCUCAGCUCAGCACUGUGGAAGGGAAGGGAGGACUGCUCUAGCACCACCCCGGCUUUUGCCUGAGCCACUGCAGGUAUGUGCCUGCAUUUUCUCAGUCCAGAGGGAAUGUCUAUGCAUAUGCAAACCAGUUCGCCCUAGCCAGGUUAGACUAACCUGCAAAUCAAUUCAAGCUCAGGCUUUUUGAAUGUCUGCCCCUAGCCUAUGUCCCUAGCCAGCUCCCCCCAACCCCCCACAGCCUGGAGCAAAUGGGGAGAGGGAGAGGGAUUUAAUCUCCCCCUCCGUCCCCUGUCUCACCGGCAGCUGGGGCCUG